AUAAAUGUGGACGUCCAGAAUAAGCAUGACAAUGUGUGGUUGGGCAGGGAAUCGUGAAAAAAUAAGCAAGAGUCUCAAUGUGUCGUACUCCAAGAAAUGUUGGGAAGUUCUGGUCAACACAAUGAAGAAAAUGAGGACAAGAGAAAGGUUCACCUUAUCUGAUGUUAAGACUUGAAGUAAUAGAAGGUACCAGUUCUUUAUAUAAUAAAAACUUGAGGGAUCCCUGGGUGACGCAGCGGUUUAGCACCUGCCUUUGGCCCAGGGCUCGAUCCAUGAGACCCAGGAUUGAAUCCCACGUCGUGCUCCCGGUGCAUGGAGCCUACUUCUCCCUCUGCCUGUGUCUCUGCCUCUCUCUCUCUCUCUCUCUCUCUCUCUCUCUGUGUGUGACUAUCAUAAAUAAAUAAAAAUUAAAAAAAAAAAACUUGAUUAACCUUUUGUCCUGUUUACUUAAUCACCCUGCUGGCCAGGCUUUACUAUGAGUUGUUGGUAAACAUAGCAGCCCCCUCAGGAAUUAUGUU
rnacentral:lncRNA from 1 species